rnacentral:tRNA from 1 species
UCCCUGCUGGCUCAGAUGGUAAAGCAUCUGCCUGCAAUGCAGGAGACCCAGGUUCUAUCCUUGGGUCAGGAA